UACAGAGGGGGGCAAGCGUUGUUCGGAAUUACUGGGCGUAAAGGGCGCGUAGGCGGCCUUCUAAGUCGAACGUGAAAUCCCCGGGCUCAACCCGGGAACUGCGUCCGAUACUGGAAGGCUUGAAUCCGGGAGAGGGAUGUGGAAUUCCGGGUGUAGCGGUGGAAUGCGUAGAGAUCCGGAAGAACACCGGUGGCGAAGGCGGCCCUGCUGGGCAGUAGCUGACGCUGAUGCGCGACAGCGUGGG
rnacentral:rRNA from 1 species